rnacentral:lncRNA from 1 species
UUUAAGGUAAACAUUAAACAAUUUCCUGGGGAAGCAGACAACUUUACAGGAAUUGGGGUUGGCCAGAUUGUACUCAGCCAACCCACCUCGGUUCACCUAAAUUCCGGAUGAAUACCAGUGUUAUAGAUACAAGAAUGGUACCAAGAACUAAGAUGAUUUUAAUGGCUGAAAGUAAUCGUUAAUGUGACUAACUUAGGUUUGAGAGAUGAAUAGAACAUUCUUAACCUCACAGCACCUAUAACUGAUGAAGGGUGGGCUAGUACCAGCAAAGGACGCAUACGACAGAAAUUACCACAAAGGGUGGUUAGGAAUUGCGCCCUGGGGUUAUUGGUCUAACCAGUUCGAGUUAGUCAUCAGAGGCCAGUUGUAGGAGGCUAAAGAAGGUACAGGAGGAGUUUUGAUCAGGAUGGGAUUAGCUUUGUCUAGAAUGAUGCUAUUGGCAUCCUCAGGGAGGUUCCAGAUGAAUACAAAGUUAUGAAUCAAAUAUGUGAAGGCUUUAACACUACAUUAUGUUGGUAGUUGACAAUAAAUAAUAAUGUGGAUUGAAUUAAUGACAUAUUUUAAUCAACAGAGAUUCAUGAAUGAAACAGGGGAUGCAGUAAAGAGGUUCUCUGACCAAUUAUCCGCCACCUCCCUCAUGACCUGGUAAAAUAGACUGACUCUCGAUAGGUUACGGGCAAAGAGGAUGGUGUAGGUAGAAUGAUUAGGUUCAUUGCUGUACGUACAUUUUUGAUAACACAGCUCAUGUUUGGGAAAUGGAAAAGUGUUGCAAGAACUGUAUUAUGGGCUGCUUUCACCUGUAUGAGUGUGUUUGGGUUGUGUGGUUGUUGUUUGGUCCCGUGUGCAAGAGGUUUAAUCACCAGAACUCUAGAGAGAUGAUAACGGAGCAGAUGGUGAGCUACGGACCGAGUCAAAGUUCAGAUCAAUGAGAUGACAAGUACCUACCGCCGAGCAAGGUGGAGGAUUCAUUCAAAUAUGAGGAGCACAUGUUAGAUGAGACCAUCUAUUGGGAUGCAUGAAUUAGUUAGAAUUUGUGUGAAAUUUCUGAAUCCAAUCAAAAUAGAUGUGUUAUAAUGUAUGUGAAAUAUCUAGCAAAACGGGUGGAUUGUAAUGGUAAUGAUAUGAUUUUAAUCCCUAUUGAGACUUGACAAGCUAUCUGCUGAGGUGAGACGUGAAGAGGGGGACUCACAAAAUUUGUCUCUGACAAAUGUGUGUACUUCCGUUUGUUUGUUUUCACUCCCGCUGUGCCGCAGAUUGUUCUUUUUUGGGGAUUUGUAAUAAAGAUAAUCUAACGUUUUACCUAAUGAUAUAUAAGGAGGGCAUUUGCACAACAUGUUUCACAACAGCACACAACAAAAUUCCAGAGACAUAUUGAGCGACCAACUGAUACCAAUCACGACCACACCCAGAGACAGAUGGCUGACUUAAGCCCUAGCCACACGAACUGACCACUGGUGUAAAGAACAACAUUCCAUGAAUAUCGCAAGCACCCAGACACGAAUUACCAGAAAUACACACACACACACACACACACACUUAGGUGUGUUAGACUCCGAGGACAAAGGACACUGCCAAGGGCCAAUGGGAAGUCGACACCACCUGGAGAGUGGACCGUCCCUCCACUCAUCGACCAGUCAGGAGAGCGGACCUACUAGACUCAACGUCAACACACUGUUAUUUCAUUGUAUAAAUUGGAUGUACACUAUGUUUCGGGGCUCUCUCUUCUGCUAGUUCCCUAAGAGCUAAACGAAGGAGUCCGUGCACG